rnacentral:sRNA from 2 species
ACAAAUGUUUUCUAGGGUUCCGAACUGCUUUGACGGUUGGCUGGUCCGAGAGAAAACGCAUGGAUGCAACUUCGCAACCGUGUACACGGCGGGAAAAAAGCCCGGGAGAA